UCCUCCAAGCGCGCCUACAGCCGGCCUCUCCCCCACCGCGCCGCCGCCAGGCCUUCUCCCAACCACACCGCGCUGGCCGGCCUUCUCCCCGAGCGUGUCGCCUCCCGUCCUUCUCCCCAUCGCCGGCAGCUUCUUCGUGCUUCUUCGGCCGCCUCCCUUCCUCCAACCUCCCGUAUCUCACACUGCCCAUAGCACAAUGCCAUCUUUUGGUGGGGCUCCGCCGCCGGAGCACCCUGUCCGUUCACAGCCACCACCACUCCAGGCCGUUCAACGCCACCACCCGAAGCGAUUCACCACCUCCCUCCGCUGCCCCUCCUAUGUUUGUUGGUGUAGCCAGCGGCGCUCUGCCCCUAUUUUGCUUACCCUGUCCAUCUCCGCAACUCCUCGCAGUUUAUUGCUCGCCCAUCGUGUGGUGGUGUGUACUCAACUGAAUGUUCACCACUGUUCGAACUGUAGCGCUAAUAAUUUGUUCUCUUCUCUGAAAUUUGGUUGCAUGCUCGCUUUCCUAUCCUCUUUCUGCAGUAUUCGGCUGGAUCAUGCUGGAGAUUCCUCACAGACUGCCUGUGUUUGUAAAUUGUGAUUUGUUGCGGUCAGGGCAUGACGAGGAUACUACUGACAUUGAUCCCACACUUCCGGGAGGUUGUUCUGACGGCCUUCGAGUGACUACAUAGCAGUGAAAGGGACGGUGGCAUGAAGCAGUUGAGUAGGUGUGCGUGGUGAGCAGCUACUAAACUUAUUCAGACACUACAAAAUAUAGUCCCACACAGCCUCUCAACACCACUUCUUGAACCUGCUUGAACCUUCAUGGCCCAGGCCGUUCACUGCCUCCACAUAAGGCCGUUCGAUGACGCAAUGCUCAAGCCGAUCACCCUUGCCAGCACCCUAGACUCCCAUGAAAUAUCUAGUCAAAAAAAUGGUUGAUCGUAAGUGCAAGUACACUACACACGCUGAGCUGCAACGGGACACGGUGACAUCACUUCUUUUGGGUUGUUUUCUGUAUGAAUCUGCAUUUUUGUUAUUAAAUUUAGUACAACGAAACACAUGAAUCCCCAGCGGGUACCAAAUUAUUGAUUCCUUAAAACAAUUAAUAGAUUUCACCAUUGGUUGGUCUACUUGUGUAAAUCUGUCAGUUCAUGACAAGUAACUUCUGAUGCUAGAAAUGCAGGAUGUUUGUGUGAAUCUUGCUUGUUUCAGAGAGAAAAAGAGUUGGUACUUGCAUCACAUGGUGUAUUGAACAAACAUACGCAUUCAGAUAAACAUGCUAACAACUCCUCUUGCUAUACUCAUGCUUGUACUUGUUUAUUUUUCUUGUUUGGGAAAUGGUUUCCUGUCCUCCUAACAGCUUUUCUCAAAUUUCAUUUAAUUUAGUUUCAAAUCAAACCAGAGCUAAUGCAUAAAUGUCAUUGGGUGAGGUUGCUAGGAAGAUUUGCAUUAGAGAAUGCUUUGUUGGAAAAGCUUCGAUUGGUAUUAUUAACAACAAAACUCUCGGUGGACAUAGACCGUAAAUCUUGAGACUAUUUUCACCAUUUUUUGCCCUUUGGUGUUUGGAAAUUCUAAAUUUUGUUGAUUUCAACUUGAUGAAUAUAAAGAUAUAUGCCAUGAGUUUUAGAUUAUAUCUCUGCUGUUGUAAUUGCUUGUUGGUGUUUAUUAGUAGAUAUACAUGUAUGAGUUCACUCCUGACUAUUGUAAUAAAGUUUUUUAGGAUUUGGAAGUAUCUAGUCUAGAUUGGCAGUGUAAAAACCAUAUAUAAAAUGUCUUGAUGCAUGCUAGCAGAAAUCUGAAAAUAAACUCAGCACAGUUCCUAUAUUUUAUUCAAGUUCAAAGCUAAACAUUUCUAACAGCUUAUCGCUCCUUGCAGGAUACACACUAUUCAUCGCAUUUGUCAUCGAGCGAUUGCACCACUAUCUUCAGAAGCUCAUCACCCUGAGGAAAUCAGUCAACACCUCCCAGAGAGGAGCUUGAAAUUUUCCAAAUGGAGUUCAAACGUGAAUUUGAGAAAAUGAUUCCUUGGCUAAGUUCCAAAAAUGUCAUUCUAUGAAGUUCGGCUAUUCAGCCAUGGACUAGUCAAUGGUGGAGUUGCAAUUUUGUUUCUUUUGUACAUACAUGAAUUGAAUGUAAUCAACGGAAAGAAACAUAUGUUGAUUCUCCAAGUUAGAGUUCAUUUUUAUUUUCUACAAGUAGCAAAACUUCCUGUGUAGAUCAAUACAUGUUCUGUGCGAUCUUGUGUUACAAAUCUUGUAGUACUGUUUUUACAGGGAUCUUUCUAGUACUUUGUAAAGCAAGCGUGAUCCAUUUGUAAAAAUAUGGCAAAAGACAUCCUUCACUCUUGCA